rnacentral:lncRNA from 1 species
UGUUAAUAAGAAAUCGAGAGCCCUCUCAAUUUAGUUUUUGCGAAAUGAUAAGAGUGAUUGGUCGAUGAAAAAACAGUGGUUGCCAUAACUCUCCGCAGUUCAUUUAGACAUCGCAAGUACACGUGUGCCUCCAAAUUUGGACUCUGCAGCCUCAGCAUGGAUGGUAAUAACGGACUACGGAUGAUGUAAACAAUUCCCAAUUUCUCAUGUUAAAUCCACUAACCCAAAAACAUUGGAUACACCAUUACAAAAAGAGUCAUUGACCAUGUCUUAACUCUCCACCUAAGGGCUUUAGCUGUUGGACUUUAAAACAGUUACUGUGGAGCUAUGUGUGUACGGUUAUCCCACCCGAAGCUCCAUGGUGGCGAGUGCCUUACCCCUGUACGUUGAAAUUUCAAUUGGAGCCAUACAUGGAUGUGCUCUCCCUGGUAGCUAUGCAGCAAUUAGCUCCCAUAUUUUAUUAGUCAAUGUCCCUUAUAUCCAAUCAAUUAAUCAAAUCUUCGAAGUUCAUCCAUGAGAUUAGAAAAUCUCAAGUGAUGAAUAACAUGAUGGCAGUCCCAAGAUGACACUGCAAAAUAAGGACAACCAUAUCAUAUUCAUGAAGAAAUGAACGUGUGCCUUCAAGAAAGCACUACCCGAAGUGGGCAAUAUUAGCCGUAACAGGUCUUGAAAGACUCCUUGUGUAGGCACAACGUUAAAAGAUGAAAGCAACCCUAAUAAGGAGCCAAGAAGCAUUAGAAAUAAACUUAUUUAAUACUGCACAAAAUAGAGCCUAUGUUGACCUGCUUAUUAAUUUUUGUGAGAGCUCAAUUACUAGGAAAAAACAAUUACCUUACAAUAUACAUGUCUUAAUAGAAGCAAAUACACGAGGGAAACAUAGAGAAUAAAUUGUAUAAAAAAAUAUGAGGUUAACUGAUCCAACAGGGUGCAAAGCAAUCUCAUGGACACAUAAAUCAUCUAAAAUUUGUGGAAAUAGCAUUCACUUUUGUGGAAUUCAAUAAUCACACAAAUUCUAAAAAAAACUUGAUUUGGUGAUAAAUUUGCCGAAGGUCAAGUGUAAUCUUAUGGAAAUGUGAAAGCCAGAAAAUAGUUUGAAGCAUGUGUGCUUAUAUUUAGAACUUUCUAAACAUAAGAACGAUGUCAGGCCCCACCGCUGAAGUUGUUGAAACUUCAACUAGGAGCCACGAUGUGCAUAUUUACUAGAAGGCAAGUCCAAAAAUUACAUAGAAAAAUAUUCUCAAUUAAUUUGUGUGAGUGUUUCGUCCAAUAGGAAAUGAGCUCAACUUGAGCAAGAGAAGCUGUGAACGAAGGCACUAUCAGGUACUGACGACGACAUAUUCCAAAACUUAGACGCACUCAAAGAGCACCCAUUCCUCCUGGCAAUACCUAAGCAUCUUUGGCGUUUUAUGCAUAUAUCAAUCAAAGAAUUGUGGAAACAAGGCUGAAAGGCAAGAGCAAUUACCUAAUCGGGUAUCGGACUAGCACACAGUGGGCACAAAUUCACAAAACGUAGGAAGCUUCUUUUUGUACAAAUAAAUAUGACAUUUUGCACAAUUUUCAACAUAAUACAUCAUGAGAAUGGAUGGCUGCAAUCAUCAUCGGAGAUUCAAGAUUCAAAUUCAACUUAUCUGUUUAAAUGGACUACUAGGUACUAUAUAGUACAAGUCAAAUUAAGCACUAGUUUGCAUUUUAUUUACCAUAAAUCAUAUACGCAUCCGGUACUUAUACCAUAUAUAUACAUCUGCCGUUGGGAAAUCCUCUGCCCCCCUCCUCCCAACACCCCACUAAAAAAACUUAUCGUACUAUAUCACACAAAAGAGACCAUAAUUCGAGUUCCUCAGUUUUCUAGAGCGGAAUCGGAAAUUGCCAGGAAUACCUUGAAUAACUCAGAGGCCAACAAAUCGCCCAAACAUCUUCGUUCGGGAGAGGGAUGAUUCACUCCGCAAAUAUUGAUUGAUGCGCGCAUCACGAACUUGCACCGGAGCCUAGAAUCCGAUCCGCCGUUGCCUUUAGGAGGGCUGCUUAGUCGGGGAGCUAGGGUUAGAUGGAGAGGCGGAAUCUUAGGAGAAGGGGAUGUACAAGGAUGCCCCGAGAGGAGGAAGACAGGAGAUAGCGCGGCGUGGGUAUGGAAGCGGGUGGGUACGAGAUCCGGUGAGAAAUGGUUUGUCC